rnacentral:lncRNA from 1 species
AGCCAGCCACCCCAGGAGUGCAGGCUGAGUCCUCUGGUGCCCUCUCUUAAACAACUGGAAGAAGCAGGGCCAGAGUCAGGCCGCUGCUGCUCUUCAGUGAGAUCAGUGCUGCCCGGCAGGGGCCGCUAGCAAUGUUCUGACAAGUCCUGCAGACUCUGCCAAGACAGCAGGAGCCCAGGCCUCACGGAUCUCCAGGGAUCAUUGUGUGUCCUCAGCAGCAGCCUGGCAGAAACACGGAACCACACGCCUGUGUCAGCUUAGUGACUCAGCAAACGGAGAGGCUCUGCUUCCACCGGGGCCCCUCCAGCCGGCCCAUGGGUUGGGUGGUGCUUCCUGGCCCUGCGGCUGUACCCUGACCCUGUUGGGUGCCAUGGCCGCUGGUAGGGGUGGGCGGCCCGCUCUGACCUCAGACCCCAUCCAGAAGCGCCUGCUGCCAUGCAGCAUGGGAAGCCCCCCGCCCCUCGCCCUGUACUUGGUUAGAGAAAGAUCUGGAAGAUACGCAACUGGAAAACAAGGUGUCGCUGGUGGUGAGGAGUUGCUGGCAGGCGAGUACCAUGCCCAAGGCGGGGAGGAAGAGCGUCUAGACUGAAAGUAAACGCACUACCUAAAAGGCGAGAAUGAGUCGUAGCUGAUGGACAAAACUGAGGCCAAGCCCAGGACACAGCCUCUCAGGGGCCCUUAGGGAGGCUCCAAAGAGGUCAGAGAGGAGCCGGAUCCACAGGAGUUUUUGCAACAAAAACCAUGUAGUCGGAACAUCAAAAGAUUAGUUAGAGAAAACCAGGCAUUUCAAGUGAAGGAGUGCAGCGCUUUUUUGUGUGGGGGGAGCUGUGGGUCUGGCUCCCGAAGUCAUUCCUGGACGUGACCCCUCGCCCCCCAGGGCCAGGGUCCUGUGCCUUCCCUGCCUGAGUCCCUGGGAGUGCUGUGGGGACACUGUGGUGGCUUGAUGGCUGCAGCAUCCUUUGUUGACUCACAUGACAGGCGACACUCCUCACUCACAGUGUCGUAAUGACUGGACCUGACAGGCAGUGUGAGCAGGGCUUCCUCCGCCAGCCCCAGAGACUGGUGCGGGAAAGCACGUGGCUGCUGCGGGACCUGCGACGGGAGCCAUCAGAACCCAGUGACUGAGGGCUGUGCCCACGCCUGCAGAGCAUCCUGUGGGCCGGGACCCAGGCACACACUAUAAUGAGAAGAGGAAACUGAUGCUCAGAAAGGCUGAGUCAUUUACCCGGGGCCACACAG